GUCGCCACAGCGUGUCAUCUUUUUCCAUAUAAGCGUAUCUCGUGCAUCCUCCUCCCACCCACUGUCCUCAUAUCCUCCUUAACAACAUCCAUCAAACUUUUCUUCGGUCUUCCUCUCGCUCUUUUGCCUGACAGCUCCAUCCUCAGCACCCUUCUACCAACAUACUCACUCUGUCGCCUCUGAACAUGUCCAAACAUUGAAGUCUGCUCUCUCUCACCUUGUCUCCAAAACAUCCAACUUUGGCUGUCCAUCUAAUGAGCUCAUUUCCAAUCCUAUCCAACCUCUUCACACCAAGCGAGAACCUCAGCAUCUUUAUUUCUGCUACCUCCAGUUCUGCUUCCUGAUGUUUCUUCAGGGCCACCGUCUCUAAUCUGUACAUCAUGGCCGGCCUCACCACUGUUUUAUAAACUUUGCCCUUCACCCUGGCGGAUACUCUUCUGUCACAUAGAAACACCAGGAACCAUCCGCCAGCUGUUCCACACCGCUUGGACCCAUUUCUUCAAUUCCUUACCAGACUCCAUUGCUCUGUAUUGUUGACCCCAAGUAUUUGAAGUCGUCCACCUUUGCUAUCUUCUCUCCCUGAAGCACUUCACUCUUCCUCCUCUGCCCCUCUCAUUCACACACAUACUGUAUAUUUUGUUUUCCUUCGGCAAAUCUUCAUUCCUCUCCUUUCCAGUGCGUACCUCCAUCUUUCUAAUGGUCCCUCUGCCUGUUACCUACUUUCACUGCAGAUCACAAUAUCAUCUGCGAACAUCAUGGUACAAGGGGAAUCCAGUCUAACCUCGUCUGUCAGCCUAUCCAUUACUACCGCAAACAGGAAGGGCCUCAGCACAGAACCCUAAUGCAGUCCCACCUCCACCUUGAAUUGUUCUGACACACCAACAGCACACCUCACCGCUGUUCUGCUGCCCUCAUACAUGUCCUGUACUAUUCUAACAUAUUUCUUCGCCUCACCAGACUUGCGCAUGCAAUACCACAGUUCCUCUCUUGGUACUAUAUCCUAGGCUUUCUCUCGGUCUACAAAGACUCAAUGUAGCUCCUUCUGAUCUCUGUACGUUUCCACAAGCAUCCUCAAGGCAAAUAAGUGCAUCUGUGGUACUCUUUCUAGGCAUGGAACCAUACUAUUCCUCGUAGAAACUUACUUCUGUCCUGAGUAUAGCCUCCACUACUCUUUCCCAUAACUUCAUUGUGUGACAUCUUCAUUCCUCUGUAGUUUCCACAGUUCUGAAUAUUGGCUUCUUUCUUAAAAAUGGGGACUAGCACAUUUUUCCUCCAUUCUUCUGGCAUCUUCUCUCCCACAAGUAUUCUAUUAAAUACCUGGGUCAAAAACUCCACAGCCACCUUACCAAACUACCUCCACAGGUAUGUCAUCGGGACCAAGUGUUUUCCAUUUUUCCAUUCUUUUCAGUGCCUUUCUAACUUCUCUCUUACUAAUCAAAGCCACUUCCCAGUCAUUCACGCUUGCCUCUUCUACUCUACCUUCUCUCCCAUUUUCUUCAUUCAUUAACCUCUCAAAGUACUCUUUCCAUCUGCUUAGUACACUAUUGGCACCAGUCAACAUAUUUCCAUCACUAUCCUUAAUCACCUUUACUUGCUGCACAUCCUUCCCAUCUCUAUCCCUCUGUCUGGCCAACCUGUAGAGCUCCUUUUCGACCUUCUUUUAUAUCCAACCUGGAGUACAUGUCAUAUGCUUUGUCGUGAGUAGUCAGGAAGAGAAAGAUGAAGACAAGACUGGAUAAAUAUGAUGGGGGAAGAUGAAAAAUGACAACAACAAAGAAAGUGGAUGCAGACAGAGAUGAAGAUAAGGAAUGGCCUUUCCAAUGAGUGUUUUUUUUUCAGCCUGAUGCUAAAACUUGGCAGAGUAAAAUUCUAAUCAAUCAGACAAUUAAUACAGACUAUUCCUCUAUCCAUUUUCUGAGCAGUUUAACUUCACAAGGGUUACAGGAGUGCCCUAUCCCAGCUAUCUUCGGGCAGGAGGCAGGGUGCACCCAAAAUUGGUUUCCAGCCAAUCGCAGGGCACAUAGAAAAAGAACUCACAUUCAUCAUUUGGGCAAUUUUGACUUUGACUUCAAUUAACCUACUAUGAAUGUUUUGGGAAUGUGGGAGGAGACCAAAGUGUCAGGAGAAAAGCCACAGAGAAACAGGGAGAACAUCCAAGCUCCACACGGGUGGGGUUGGGAUUUGAGUUGUCCACAAUGUCACCUCAGAAAGACUAAACUGUAUACAAUAUCUUCCUUUUGGUCCCUUAAAGGAAUGCUCCACUCAUUGCUUACCUCGAUGAAAUGCCGAUUAACCAUUAUAAAUAUAUAGUAUAUCUAGUAAAUUCUAGUAAAAAAAUUGAAUAAAUAACUUUAAUGCGCUCUUUUAACCAAGUAAUCAACAUUUUUGUAUGGUCGGCGCCAUUUUGACUAUUUUUACGAGACCACAUGACUUAAAAAAACAGGAAGUGAGGUAUCAUGUGCAUAAACAAAGGCUUGGUUAUAGAUCAAUUCCUACACAAUCAUAGCACUGAUUUAUAACCCUGAUUUAUCCUCAUCUGAUGAAGAAAUAGUAUCGUUGAUCGGGAAGACGGAGGACUACAUCCAUACAAAUUUGAACGUGUGGCUGUAAAUAAUGGUGAAUAUUGGGAUAACUAUUCGGACGGCAAUGACGUCGAACCUCUGACUACUCAGAGGUAGACAUGCGGGACACACCAUUCAUCAAUCCUAUCGAUUUUGGAGUGCGUUUAGGCUAGUUAUUAUGAUGCGGUUUCCUUUCAUACUUUUAAGUUGUUAUGACGCGGAACCUUUGUGAUGCGGGAUUCUGAAAUGUUCCAAGGAGCGCCUACAUAAGGACGAGAAAGACCGUCAACGGGGCUUAUUCACACUGCACCGCUGCUAUGGGACAAGGUACACUGGUUGGAACAAACUACAGGGACGCCUGCUGCCUUUCGUCUUUGAACAUUUGGACAUUUCUAGAACAUUCCCUAACUUGGAAUAUUCGCUGGAAGGAACAUUAGCCUGUUUGGGAACAUUCGUUCAACGGUGGUAAACUCCAUGCAGCUAUCCCUAUAAGCCCCCCCGGGAGGUCCGGGGUAAUUGGUGCCUUCUUCAUCAGAUGAGGAUAAAUCCGAGAAAUCAGCCCCCAGCACAAUGUAAUCGAGCCUUUGGUGAGGCACAACCGCGCACGCAUGGUGGAUCAGCGAGUAAAGCAUUGGCCUCACAGUUCUGAGGUCCCGGGUUCAAUCCUGGACCCGCCUGUGUGGAGUUUGCAAGUACCCCGGUGUACCUCGCCUCCUGCGCGUUGACAGCUAGGAUAGGCUCCACCACACCCCGUGGCCCUUGUGAGGAUGAACGGCGAAGAAAAUUGAUGGGAUUUUUUUAAAAUUUACGCAAUGUCUGGAUAUGUGCUAACUUUCAAAGCUAAACCCAAAAGAAACGUCAAUGACCCCGCCCCAUGAUGUCACCUGGGCUUAGCACCUGCUUGUUCAGUGUGUCAUAAGGAGUCUACUUCUGGACUCAUGUGUCUUAGUGCUGAACAACAUGGCAGAGCCGUUAACCUUUUUUUACUGUUACAAAUUUAUUUUCGAAUGUCCCGGAACACAUCAGAAAGGGUUUAAACUCCUAUAACUUCAACCAGGUGAAUAGUGUGAAGACAAUAAUUCCAAUCUUAAAUAAUAGAUUUGCCCCUGCUACAUGUUUUCAGCUCUAAUAAAAAAUUGGGACUUGUCUUGUUUUUGUCAGUUUUUGUGGUAGUGGCUUAGUCUUUAGUGUACGCUGCAUAAAUGAUUACCUUUCAGCAUGAUUCUUACAUAAUGCAUUGAUAACAUAAACAGAGUUAGUAGGAUGAAGUACAAAUAAAAGGCAAUUAAUUUAUAUGCAACCAAUUCAAUACUGUGGUAUCUGUAUAUGUGCUAGAGGUCAUGAGUGACCGUACAUUUCUAAUUAUUCAUA